rnacentral:tRNA from 1 species
AGUUGCUUAUCUUUUAGGAAAGUAAAUGUUUUGAAAGCAUUAAAAAAGAGUUCGAAUCUCUUAGUAACUU